CAAUCUCAUGAGGUAACUCCGGAUAAGCUUACUUCGGGGUACCUGGUGAGAUGCGA
rnacentral:pre_miRNA from 1 species